rnacentral:rRNA from 1 species
UGUGAAGGUGGCCUGUGAGGGUUGCUGGAGGUAUCAGAAGUGCGAAUGCUGACAUAAGUAACGAUAAAGCGGGUGAAAAGCCCGCUCGCCGGAAGACCAAGGGUUCCUGUCCAACGUUAAUCGGGGCAGGGUGAGUCGACCCCUAAGGCGAGGCCGAAAGGCGUAGUCGAUGGGAAACGGGUUAAUAUUCCCGUACUUGGUGUUACUGCGAAGGGGGGACGGAGAAGGCUAUGUUGGCCGGGCGACGGUUGUCCCGGUUUAAGCGUGUAGGUGUGUGUUCCAGGUAAAUCCGGUUCACUUUAACACUGAGGCGUGAUGACGAGGCACUACGGUGCUGAAGCAACAAAUGCCCUGCUUCCAGGAAAAGCCUCUAAGCAUCAGGUAACAUCAAAUCGUACCCCAAACCGACACAGGUGGUCAGGUAGAGAAUACCAAGGCGCUUGAGAGAACUCGGGUGAAGGAACUAGGCAAAAUGGUGCCGUAACUUCGGGAGAAGGCACGCUGACA